GAUGAACGCUGGCGGCAGGCCUAACACAUGCAAGUCGAGCGCCCCAGCGAUGGGGAGCGGCGGACGGGUGAGUAACGCGUGGGAACGUGCCCCUUUCUGCGGAAUAGCCUCGGGAAACUGGGAGUAAUACCGCAUAAGCCCUACGGGGGAAAGAUUUAUCGGGAAGGGAUCGGCCCGCGUUGGAUUAGGUAGUUGGUGGGGUAAUGGCCUACCAAGCCGACGAUCCAUAGCUGGUUUGAGAGGAUGAUCAGCCACACUGGGACUGAGACACGGCCCAGACUCCUACGGGAGGCAGCAGUGGGGAAUCUUAGACAAUGGGCGCAAGCCUGAUCUAGCCAUGCCGCGUGAGCGAUGAAGGCCUUAGGGUUGUAAAGCUCUUUCAGGGGGGAAGAUAAUGACUGUACCCCCCAGAAGAAGCCCCGGCUAACUCCGUG
rnacentral:rRNA from 1 species